GAGCAAUUUAUGGAAGUAUAUGUGUCGUCUGUGGUUGAAAAUAUUACUAGGUAACAAAAGCAACUGGAAAAGAAAUUUGAAAAAUCGUAUUGUUAUACCUGAAUAUCGCUUUCCUUCGUACAUCAGACCACAACAACGAAGACCCGACCCCUACAGAAAUACAUAUACACAGACAAAAAGCAGAACAUAACACAUACUAUUAGUCUAGAUAGACGGUUUUGCUACCGGC
rnacentral:lncRNA from 1 species